GCCACCUAUCCCUGUAAAUGAGACAGCACUGGGCUUCACAGGCUGGGAGGAGUUAGUGGGCAGGUCAAAGUAGCAUUAGCUGCAAACAUGCGGGAAUGCAGUGAAACAGGAUGGACCAGAAGUGGAACUCCCUCUGGAUAAGACCAAGACCAUGCUGGGGGAUGGCUGAAGGACGCCUGAUUGUAAUGUUCCCCAUGAAUGAUGAACGUAUGAUGCAGAGCAGGACAACACACACUUAUCUUUUCUUCCAGAGAUGUAGCUGUUUGCAAACAGGAGCACACCCCAGAGGGUCCCUGGGAUGGAACAGGUUUCCUUUAGUUUAAUAUAUAAAGAUCACCACUCACUAGAUAAAAGCUUGCUAGAGGUGCUGGAGCUGAUAUUUAGCAUAUAAGAAAGAGCAUCCCCACACUGCAGUCUGUGCCAUAUUGAUUUAGUGAGGAAAGCUUUCAGAGAGGAAUCUUCUUCAAGCAUUUCUUCAACCUUUAAAUGGCACAUUUAAGAACAAAAGAGAGUGGAGUGAGUCAAAAUGGCGAGGAAAAACACACCACAACACCUAAAUACACAUUUAACAACAGAAAAAGGAAAUAACCAAGUGCACAAGAUGCAUCACAUGUAUAGUAAUACAUGUAUACCCACAUUAUGACAAAGAGCAUUGGUGUGUACCAUAAGAAUCCCUAGUUAUGAAUCUACCAGCAGUGUGAUUUGACUCCUGGACCAUCAGGGGAACUCCAUGCUCUUUUACUCCAUGUGGACAUUUGCUGAAAGGCUGUGUCACAGUUCACAUCUCAGGUUUAGGUCACCCAAAUGGCAAACAAACAUAUAUUCUCACUUAUAUAUCUAGAGGUAUCUAACAAUGUGGUGUAAGUAGUUUUGGUUUUAUUUGUCCAGGUUUUGAGAUCUGUCUCUGGGAUUUCUGUCGCCACCCUAAUACAAUGGAGGUGAAAGGAAUUUAGUUUGUGCUACUCACAGCAUUGAAGUUUUAAAAAAAUAAAAUAAAAAUUCUAGAGCAACAUGCCUUUCGAUAAACCUGUUACUCUGGAUAAUCACA